GGAAAAUAUUGUUACAGAAUGAUUCUAUAGAUAGACACACAUAUAUACAAAGCAACUUGUGGCCACGUCACACACUCUAGCUCGAUUAGAGUCCAAGUUCGGCACAAAAGUUUGCACGUCACAAAACUGCAAACGGACGCGACGUCGUGGUAAGCUUUCGCCGAACUUUGGUCUGUACGAGGAUCGAGCUAGCCCACUCUAAGCCCGGGCUUUUAGCCCGCUCCUGGCCUAACUGAAUCGGUUGCGGAAAUGAAAAGCAGGAACUAAGCUGGAAUCGAGUUGGAGUGUAUGACGUGACUACAAGCUGCUUAUAUAAUCAUUUGUUGUCUCGUUUGCGGUAUUUACUCAGUCAUCAACUCUCUCAUUGAAACCUUCUCUCCCUCAUCUCCCUUUGAAAUAAUCAAACAUCCCCAGAUCUCCUACGACGAAAGAUUUCCAAAUGCAGAAUCGGAACUCAACGAUACCGGACUUCAAGUAUCGGCGGUUCAUGUUGAAAUUGUCACACCGACUUACUUCGAAAGAUAUUGAAGAACUCAAGUUCAUGUUAGCGUCGGUUAUUCCAGCCGGCACAAUGGAGUCGCUCGACACGACUUUGAAAUUAUUUCUUCACCUUGAGAAACUAUUAUUUGUUGGACCAAAUAAUCUUUGGGAACUCGCAGAACUGUUUCGUGCGAUCGACAGACAAAGACUUUGUGAUAUUGUUACCAAGUUCAUCGCAGAUAGCGAGAAUUAAUUUUGACUGAGUACCCAAAAAUUGCCCCGCUCAAUACAUUCUUAAAACUCAGGUUUAUCCUGAUUCUAUAAGCAUGUGUUGUGCAGGCGUGCUUUUCUCUUCAUACAAAAGAAUGGAAGUUUAAAUCAGUGAAUUGACGGCGCGGAUAAAUAAAUAUAAAACGAUUUAAGGUAAGUUUCGAUGAGAAAAUUCUGAUGUCCAUUUUUGCCAAAGCUUUCAAAAGUUUGAACUGGAAAAGUAGGAAUUUUCGCAUCGAAGAGAAGCGACCAUGGGCGAACUAGUCGCUACAACAGAGGAUAUUAUUGAUUUGAUGAAGAUAUUGACUUGAUUAUCUAAAUUUCGAUUCCCAACACAUGCGCAAAGCUUAGUGGUUUAUCCCUGGCUUUAUGCUUGUGUGUUGUGGCAUUAAUUUUGCUAUAUACAAAAGGAUGGCUUUGUUGAACCAGAUAUAUACAGACGGCUUCAGUUUCAGGCU